CCUACGGGAGGCAGCAGUGAGGAAUAUUGGUCAAUGGACGAGAGUCUGAACCAGCCAAGUAGCGUGAAGGAUGACUGCCCUAUGGGUUGUAAACUUCUUUUAUAAAGGAAUAAAACGCGGCACGUGUGCCUUUUUGCAUGUACUUUAUGAAUAAGGAUCGGCUAACUCCGUGCCAGCAGCCGCGGUAAUACGGAGGAUCCGAGCGUUAUCCGGAUUUCUUGGGUUUAAAGGGAGCGUAGAUGGGUUGUUAAGUCAGUUGUGAAAGUUUGCGGCUCAACCGUAAAAUUGCAAUUGAUACUGGCAGUCUUGAGUACAGUUGAGGUAAGCGGAAUUCGUGGUGUAGCGGUGAAAUGCUUAGAUAUCACGAAGAACCCCGAUUGCGAAGGCAGCUUACUAAACUGUGACUGACAUUGAUGCUCGAAAGUGUGGGUAUCAAACAGGAUUAGAUACCCUAGUAGUC
rnacentral:rRNA from 1 species